rnacentral:rRNA from 1 species
CCAGCAGCUGCGGUAAUUCCAGCUCCAAUAGCGUAUAUUAAAGUUGCUGCAGUUAAAAAGCUCGUAGUUGGAUUUCUGGUACGGUGCACCUGUCCCGCCACGGUUAUCGUGUGUGAGUGACGGGCUGCGCCUGCCAUUCUUGCAGUGAUCUGGUGUGCUCUUCACUGAGUUGCGCCAGCUAUCUGCAUCUUUUACUUUGAAAAAAUUAGAGUGUUUAAAGCAGGCUUAUGCUAUGAAUACAUUAGCAUGGAAUAAUAAUCUAGGACUUCGGUCUUAUUUUGUUGGUUUUCAGGAUCGAAGUAAUGAUUGAUAGGGACAGUUGGGGGUGCUCGUAUUGCAUGGCCAGAGGUGAAAUUCUUGGAUUCAUGCAAGACGAACUUAUGCGACAGCAUUCACCAAGGAUGUCUCCGUUAAUCAAGAACGAAAGU